rnacentral:rRNA from 1 species
AGAGUUUGAUCCUGGCUCAGGACGAACGCUGGCGGCACGCUUAACACAUGCAAGUCGAACGAGAGAAGAGGAGCUUGCUUUUCUGAUCUAGUGGCGGACGGGUGAGUAACACGUGAGCAAUCUGCCUUUCAGAGGGGGAUACCGAUUGGAAACGAUCGUUAAUACCGCAUAACAUAAUUGAACCGCAUGAUUUGAUUAUCAAAGAUUUAUCGCUGAAAGAUGAGCUCGCGUCUGAUUAGCUAGUUGGUAAGGUAACGGCUUACCAAGGCGACGAUCAGUAGCCGGACUGAGAGGUUGAUCGGCCACAUUGGGACUGAGACACGGCCCAGACUCCUACGGGAGGCAGCAGUGGGGAAUAUUGCACAAUGGAGGAAACUCUGAUGCAGCGAUGCCGCGUGAGGGAAGAAGGUUUUAGGAUUGUAAACCUCUGUCUUCAGGGACGAAAAAAGACGGUACCUGAGGAGGAAGCUCCGGCUAACUACGUGCCAGCAGCCGCGGUAAUACGUAGGGAGCGAGCGUUGUCCGGAAUUACUGGGUGUAAAGGGAGCGUAGGCGGGAUCGCAAGUCAGAUGUGAAAACUAUGGGCUUAACCCAUAAACCGCAUUUGAAACUGUGGUUCUUGAGUGAAGUAGAGGUAAGCGGAAUUCCUAGUGUAGCGGUGAAAUGCGUAGAUAUUAGGAGGAACAUCAGUGGCGAAGGCGGCUUACUGGGCUUUAACUGACGCUGAAGCUCGAAAGCGUGGGGAGCAAACAGGAUUAGAUACCCUGGUAGUCCACGCCGUAAACGAUGAUUACUAGGUGUGGGGGGACUGACCCCUUCCGUGCCGCAGCAAACGCAAUAAGUAAUCCACCUGGGGAGUACGACCGCAAGGUUGAAACUCAAAGGAAUUGACGGGGGCCCGCACAAGCAGUGGAGUAUGUGGAUUAAUUCGAAGCAACGCGAAGAACCUUACCAGGUCUUGACAUCGUAUGCAUAGCUCAGAGAUGAGUGAAAUCUCUUCGGAGACAUAUAGACAGGUGGUGCAUGGUUGUCGUCAGCUCGUGUCGUGAGAUGUUGGGUUAAGUCCCGCAACGAGCGCAACCCUUACUGUUAGUUGCUACGCAAGAGCACUCUAGCAGGACUGCCGUUGACAAAACGGAGGAAGGUGGGGAUGACGUCAAAUCAUCAUGCCCCUUAUGACCUGGGCCUCACACGUACUACAAUGGCUGUCAACAGAGGGAAGCAAAGCCGCGAGGUGGAGCGAACCCCUAAAAGCAGUCUUAGUUCGGAUUGUAGGCUGCAACCCGCCUACAUGAAGUCGGAAUUGCUAGUAAUCGCAGAUCAGCAUGCUGCGGUGAAUACGUUCCCGGGCCUUGUACACACCGCCCGUCACGCCAUGGGAGUCGGUAACACCCGAAGCCUGUAGUCUAACCGCAAGGAGGACGCAGUCGAAGGUGGGAUUGAUGACUGGGGUGAAGUCGUAACAAGGUA